rnacentral:lncRNA from 1 species
CGUAAUAGAGCAGCCUGUAAGUAGUCAUGAUGCUUUCUAAGGAUUAGUGACGUGAUACAAAUACAUAGGCUUCUCACAAUCUCCCCAGAAGGAGUGAGAGUAGAAAGGAAGACAAGAGAAGCGCUCGUACGUGAGCCCGGCUUUAUGCUCACAGGAGAAGUCAUCACCCAGGUGAGUGUCACAGAGCAAGGCGAGAAGCCCGACUCGCAUGCAGUGAUGGAACCCCGUGUGCUAGUAGUCAGUGUAAAUAGUCUAAGCUCCACAAAAGGCAACUUCAGCACAUGCCCGUGCUUCACAUCACUGGGAAAGAUAAACAAAAUUCCAAACAGCAGCAGGCUUCCAAGGGCAGGGGCACACCUGCAGCUGCUCCCAAAGGAGGGCCAAACCAGGGCUAGGAAGAAAUACAGUAACUCAGAGGCAGGGACCACUACCCUUGUAGGCAGAUGCUAUUGAUAUUGUUAAGGAUCAGCCUCCCUCAAGAGUACAGUGAGGAGACCGGAUGGCCCUGUACACAUCGUCAUCAUCACAGGCUGGUUAGAGUUUGAGUAUUUCACAAUACCCAAACAAUAUCCCAUUAUUCCUGAAAUUUCAGUAGUAGCAAUAAAGGCAGAUAAGUUGAACAGUGAGCUAAACAAUGCUAAAUAUGUUGUGUCCCUAACAUGCAGGAAAUUGAUGUUAGGUCCGGUUCUUCCUCCCAGCCCCAUGCUCCCAGAAAUACGACUCAGACUCCAAAUACAUUUACAAAUACCUUGGCCUAAUGGCUAAGCUUUACUUUGACUAGAUCAUAACCUAGAUAACCCAUUUAUUUUAACUGACAUUCUGCCACAUGCCUGGUUACCUGUGCUCAGGUACCAUGCCUCCAUCUCCUCACUUCUCCAACAGAUCUUCCCGUGCAUGGCUCUAAGCCAGAAUUCAUUUUCCUCCCAGAUGUCCCACCUUCCAUUCCCUGUCUGAACCAUAGGCCAUCAGUUUUUUAAUUGACAGGUGAUGCAUCCAUACGAUACACAAGCUAUUCUCUCUACAGGGAAUUAGCUGUCUUGAAUAAGCCAAAGUGGAAAAGAGACAAGGUAAUUCUUCAUGGAGAAACAGACUGGUAAAUACUCAGCUAAUGCCACAUUCACCCACUGAACGACAAAGGACCAAUCCAAAAGUAGAGUACUAGGCUUAGAAUAUAGAGUCCACUGCUGUGCUACCAUGAAUGUGCCCAGUUUUGUCUGACCUUGGAAGCUUGGCAUCAGGCUAGGUUAAUUCUUAGGUGAGGAGGGAAUAUCACCACAAGCUACAGCCUUGAAGCCUAGUGGAAUUGCCACCCUUGGGGUUUAGAAAUUUUUUGGUCCCUUGUGACCCAUGAACAGAAAUUUUAUAUUCUGUAUCUUAGACUUGUAAUAUCAAGGGACCAAAAAAAAUGUCUUCUAGUUCUAUAGGUCUGUAGAUGGAGAUGACUUUCCCCAAGACUCACUAACAUCUGGCUUAGAUGGCUAAAAUAAUGACAAUAUGCAGCUUGGAGUUGAUACUGUAAUGGAUUGCAACGCUAGCAUUUUGAAAUAACUUUAUUUUACAUGGAGGAUGAGCUAGGCCAAGGAAGACAGGGAAGAAAGGCUGCUGGCUCUCAAUAUGUCCAUAUCUUGUCUCUGGAAACUAGUUCUGUGUUACCUUUCAUGACAAAGGGGACUUUGGCAGAUGAGAUCAGGAAGAGACCUGACAUGAGUUAUCCUCGGUAAUCCAAUGUAACCACCAGAGUCUUGGCAAGGAGGACACAGGGCCGUCAGAGGCAGAAAGCAAAAGAAGAGCUCACAGUGACAUGAGGUCACGAUCCACAGAUUGAGCCACCUGUAGAAACUGAUGAAGGCAAGAAAAUAGAUUUUUCCAGAGCCUCCUAUGUUAGCUUUCUCUGAAAGAAAUUAAUGAAAAGUGUAUUUGGGCUCAUGGUUUCAGAGACCUCAAAUCCAUGGUCAUUUGGUGCAUCCUUUCUGGGCCAGUGGAAGUACAGCAUGACUGCAAGAGUGUAUAGAGAAGGAGACUGCUCACCUCAUGGUGACCAGGGCACAGAAGGGUCAGCAACGAGACCCAGCUUCCCAAAGCAUGCCAACAACUAGGUUCUCUGCCUCUAUGUUUCUGUCACUUCUGUUAGUCCAUUAAACUAGGAACCCAUUAACUAAUCCAUAAUGAGCUCAGAGCCCUUUAGAUCCAAUCAUGGAUUAGAUUCUUCUGGGAUUCUUGCCACCUAUGGUCUUUGCUAUGCUGGGGACCAAGUCCCCAACCCAGGAGCCCUGGGAGGAUAUGGCACAUCCAAACCAGAACUUUUCUAGAUGGAACACAGCCAAGUUAAUACUUUGUUUUUAGCUAUCUGGGAAUGGUUUUAGACUUGUGUACUAGGAUGAUAAGAAGUUCAUGUUGUUUAAAGACAUAUAACAGCAUGAAAAAUUAACAGCAAUGGAAAAUUAACUCAGAACCAACAUCCCUGUGAUGCACCUGUAGCCUGCUGGACUGGCUGAACAGAAGUUCUUGGUCUUGCUCAGAAAUCUUGUGUCUGCUGGAAGCAUUUAGGGGACUGAGAGAGCCUAGCCUCUUCACUUGUAAGAGGUUGUAAAGUAUUCGGUUUUUCAUGAUCCUUAACAUUCAGUACUUAAAAUUGUGAUAACUCAGGGACUUUCUUCUGUUUAGGACUCCAGGUCUUCUUCUAGCUAAUUAACUUCACAAUAUGGUGUCUCUUGAAUAGUUUUCAUGAAUAAUUAAGAAGUAGUUCACGAUGUGUAUUUAUAUAUAGUUGAAAGAAUUACGCUAAUACUCGGGCAGAUUAGUAAGAUCAAUAUUGUUGCAUUGGGUAAAAAUAUACAUGAAGGAAGCAUGUCUCUAUCUGUAAGAACUCAAAGUGGCUUUAAUGAUACUAUAGUAACUAGUUCAUGUUCUGCUCUACUACUUCAUGUUACUCUCUUAAAGAAUCAUACUUCCUUUUGAAGACAUUAUGGGAAAGGGAUUUCCUUGGGUGGACUUGUUCCCAAACGAAUCGCCUGUGUGGCUCUGAGACGCCGUCAGCACACACACUCUCUCAGAAAUCAGGGAGAUAUUUAGGCACAGCAUAGGAUAGCUUUUUAGAGGAAUGGAAACUUGCCUGUGUGAAAAUCAAAGCAGAGAAAAUUCCUGUGCGAUCAAAUGCAUUUAUUAUGCAACUUAAGCAAGACAAAGGGUGAACAAAUUCGUAAAGUAGAUGCCACCCAUCGAUUAGCAGCUGCUCAUGCAUACAACUCUCUGUGUGCAAGGCUGAGUUCUUUCCGACACCAGCAAAGGGUUGCUUCCUCCACGAAAUGAACAUCAUGUUGCUCAAAUUAUCAUCGCAAUCCUGAACAUCUGCUACUGUGGCACAAACAACCCACUGACCCUCUCAGCUCCAAGCCAGGCAGCCGACACCCACACAUCUGCCACGCAGACCAUGGCAAGGAGCGUCUUGUUCUGAAGCCAAAGAGUUCAGAAGCGCGAGCACAGGAUGCAAACUCGGAGACACCGAGAAGGGACCCACAUCAGGCAGAUGACAAUCUGCCCUAGCAGUUUUUGAGAGCACGGAUGCUUGUGAAACAGUUUAGGCUGGUACUCACUGGAGUCAAAGCUGCCCCAGUUUAAAGCCGGGGUGGGUGGAGUUCAUCACAUAAACUGCUGCGGCAAAACUCGCAGAGACACUGUCCACAGUGCAUGUGAGGCUCCUGUGCUCCUGGUAAAGGUUUCCCUAGCUAAAGUGAGACUCUGUGAAGGGCUGAGCAAAGGGAGGGUACCAAGCCCUGGAGAACCUGCCCUGAAAGCCAGGGUGCCAUGUUCUAUUAUCUACUGUUUAUGUGUUUCUUAGCAUGUCUUAAACGCUAAGUCUGAAAGCCACAAAAAUUCUAGAGCUGGGAUAGGUCAUCUACUCCAGACAGGCCACCUUACAUGUAAAACCAUGGCAGUCCAGAGAGGUAAAGCAACUUGUUACAGGCAGAGAAUGGUGGGAAAGGGCUAGAUCAGACUGCAGUAACCUAACCCUCACCCAGGAGGGGGCUCAAUUGCAUAUAUGUGGCUAAUUGUUUCAAUAAAGAAGCCUUAAUACUGUCAAUGCAUUUUUUUAAUC